UAAAACGUAGGGGGCGAGCGUUGCCCGGAUUCACUGGGCGUAAAGCGGGUGUAGGCGGUCUUUUAAGUCGAUUGUGAAAUCCUGCGGCUCAACCGCAGAAUUGCAGUCGAUACUGGGAGACUUGAGGACGGUAGAGGUCGGUGGAAUCCCCGGUGUACCGGUGAAAUGGGCAGAUAUCGGGGGGAACACCAGUGGCGAAGGCGGCCGACUGGGCCGAUCCUGACGCUGAGACCCGAAAGCUAGGGUAGCGAACCGGAUUAGAUACCCGGGUAGUCCUAGCCGUAAACGGUGCGAACUAGGUGUGGGGGUCCUUUAGGGCUUCCGUGCCGAAGCUAACGCAUUAAGUUCGCCGCCUGGGGAGUACGGCCGCAAGGCUA
rnacentral:rRNA from 1 species